CAUAGGUCGUGGGUUCCAAGGUGACGUCGGUACAAGGAGAUAUGAACGUUUUAAGGUCGAAAGGUCAGUGGGCUAGGCCCAACUCGGGACCAACCGAAUUGGCCCAAAAAAAUGAAAAGAAAAAUUCAGGCCCAAGUGAGGAGGUGGCCGGCCAUGGUCCUUAAUAAAGGACCCAAGCCCAUUUAAAUUAGUCAUGUGAUUAAUAAUAAAAAGGGGCUAAGUCUUCAUUUUCAACCAAGAACAUUCAUGAAGCAAAGAAGAGAAAAACAAACACAAAGAAGAGCAAAAAUAAGGCCAUUUCGGGUUUGGCCAUAGAAAAAUCACCCCUCAAAAUUUUGCCUCUAAAAUUAUUUUCUUGUUGAAUUCCUACUAAAUUAAGUGUCCUCUACAACUUGGUGUAGUUGUUUUGGAAGAAGGAGCACUUAUUUCUUCAAGUUGACAACUUGUUCAAGUGAAGAAGUUUGUAGAAAAAGAUUUUGGGCGAAACGGGAAUUGAAUUUGGAAAGGCGUAAAGAGCAUACAAGGUACAGACUACAGAUUUGCUGACCCACCUGCCUAGGACACCUAUUCUGCUAUUCUGGAGCGCUCUUUUGUCCAGAGCCUAUACUCUGGUACAGUCUGCUGCUGUUGUAUAUAUGUACGCUAUUCAGGGGUACGACGGGGCCCUGUCCCGUCUUAUGAUUCUGUUAUGUUCUGUAGAGGUCUGUAGACAUACAUGUGGGUUCUGUAUAUGU